rnacentral:rRNA from 1 species
CACGCAGGCGGUCUGUCAAGUCGGAUGUGAAAUCCCUGAGCUUAACUUAGGAAUUGCAUUCGAUACUGGAAAGCUAGAGUAUGGGAGAGGAUGGUAGAAUUCCAGGUGUAGCGGUGAAAUGCGUAGAGAUCUGGAGGAAUACCGAUGGCGAAGGCAGCCAUCUGGCCUAAUACUGACGCUGAGGUACGAAAGCAUGGGGAGCAAACAGGAUUAGAUACCCCCGUA